rnacentral:rRNA from 1 species
GCAUACGGUGGAUGCCUUGGCAGUCAGAGGCGAUGAAGGACGUUGGAGCUUGCGAAAAGUCUCGGGGAGGUAGCAACCGACCUUUGAUCCGGGAAUGUCCGAAUGGGGAAACCCACCCAAUGUAAGUUGGGUAUCUCUUACUGAAUACAUAGGUAAGGGAGGCGAACGCGGGGAACUGAAACAUCUAAGUACCCGCAGGAAAAGAAAUCAACUGAGAUUCCCCCAGUAGCGGCGAGCGACCGGGGAAGAGCCUGCACGUAAUAGCUUUUGGGUUAGUGGAACGGUCUGGAAAGUCCGGCGAUAGAGGGUGAUAGCCCCGUACACGAAAACCUGGGAGUGGUACUGAGCGUGCGAUAAGUAGGUCGGGACACGUGAUAUCUUGACUGAAGACGGGGGGACCAUCCUCCAAGGCUAAAUACUCCUGACUGACCGAUAGUGAACCAGUACCGUGAGGGAAAGGUGAAAAGUACCCUGAGUAAGGGGGUGAAAUAGAACCUGAAACCGUGCGCUUACAAGCGGUCGGAGCCCAUGAGUUGGGUGACGGCGUGCCUUUUGCAUAAUGAGCCUACGA